AUCCUUUUGCAGUUCGUAAACGUGACAGUUGGGUUUUCACGCGCAUGUGUCGGAUGUGCCUCCCUAAAACCUUGUUCUGACAUCGGCAUGUUACCUGUCUCAUA